rnacentral:rRNA from 1 species
CCUACGGGUGGCAGCAGUGAGGAAUAUUGGUCAAUGGACGAGAGUCUGAACCAGCCAAGUAGCGUGAAGGAUGACUGCCCUAUGGGUUGUAAACUUCUUUUAUAUGGGAAUAAAAUGUUCCACGUGUGGGAUUUUGUAUGUACCCUAUGAAUAAGGAUCGGCUAACUCCGUGCCAGCAGCCGCGGUAAUACGGAGGAUCCGAGCGUUAUCCGGAUUUAUUGGGUUUAAAGGGAGCGUAGGUGGAUUGUUAAGUCAGUUGUGAAAGUUUGCGGCUCAAACGUAAAAUUGCAGUUGAGACUGGCAGUCUUGAGUACAGUAGAGGUGGGCGGAAUUCGUGGUGUAGCGGUGAAAUGCUUAGAUAUCACGAAGAACUCCGAUUGCGAAGGCAGUUCACUGGACUGCAACUGACACUGAGGCUCGAAAGUGUGGGUAUCAAACAGGAUUAGAUACCCUAGUAGUC